rnacentral:lncRNA from 1 species
UAUCUAGGCCCUUAUGAUGGCAUCUUGAGGCCAUCGGGAGAGCCAGCAUAUGUCAUUCAUUUACCACACCAUUUCCUCAUUCUCAACUGCAGACGGCCAAGGCUACUGUGGGAUGACCUUGGAAGGCCAGCAUCCAGAUGGGUUUCCAGUUUGUCGGACGAAGAUUGAAUCCUCCGUGGAGCCUCCGUGCUUUGAAAGUUUUAUCUUCCUCUUUCACAGCCGUUCUUCCCAUGGGCUCUCACCUGCCUUCUGUCUCCUUGUCAACAGUACCUCAAGCCCCCUCCCUGUUCAGCCUUUCAUGGGUUUAUCAUCGUCACCCCCGCUGACAGUGAACGAUUUCCUCUCUGGGAAUAUCACAAGAGCUGUAGCCGCUGCCAGAAUUCUCUGGCACGAAAUUCCUCUCUGAGUCAGAGCCUAAGGCCAUUAGCGAGGGAGGAACAGCUGCCGGGACUGCACAUCUGUGAGUCAUUUGAAAAUUUUAUGAUGAAUACAACUAUCCACUACAGAGACUCAUACAUUAUAUAUUAACCUAAUACCUCUACCAUCCCACUACCAACAGACUCCUAUUGUUGUAUGUAUUUUUUUCUAAUGACAUUCUAACUCCAA